rnacentral:rRNA from 1 species
CCCUUAGAUGUUCUGGGCCGCACGCGCGCUACACUGACGAUGGCAACGAGUUUUUCCUUCGCCGAAAGGUGUGGGUAAUCUUUUGAAACGUCGUCGUGCUGGGGAUAGAUCAUUGCAAUUUUUGAUCUUGAACGAGGAAUUCCUAGUAAGCGCGAGUCAUCAGCUCGCGUUGAUUACGUCCCUGCCCUUUGUACACACCGCCCGUCGCUACUACCGAUUGAAUGGUUUAGUGAGGACUCCUGAUUGGCGCCGCCGCCCCGGCAACGGAGCAGCGGACUGCCGAAAAGUUGUUCAAACUUGAUCAUUUAGAGGAAGUAAAAGUCGUAACA